AUUGAACGCUGGCGGCAGGCCUAACACAUUCAAGUCGAACGAGUGGCGGACGGGUGAGUAAUUUCUGGGAAACUGCCCGAUGUCUGGGGAUCACUACUGGAAACGGUAGCUAAUCCCGCAUACCAUCGGAUGUGCCCAGAUGGGAUUAGCUAGUCGGUGGGGUAACGGCUCACCUAGGCGACGAUCCCUAGCUGGUCUGAGAGGAUGACCAGCCACACUGGAACUGAGACACGGUCCAGACUCCUACGGGAGGCAGCAGUGGGGAAUAUUGCACAAUGGGCGCAAGCCUGAUGCAGCCAUGCCGCGUGUAUGAAGAAGGCCUUCGGGUUGUAAAGGACUUUCAGCGAGGAGGCGUUACUCGCAGAAGAAGCACCGGCUAACUCCGUGCCAGCAGCCGCGGUAAUAC
rnacentral:rRNA from 1 species